AGAAUAAUGAAGAGUAUGUUGCAAAAUAUAUGUAAAUAUGGGAAAUGUGCUUUGAGAUUUUAAUGAGAAGCAACGUGAGAAUGUUUGGUCUUAUACAGAGUAUGGAUGUUGUUGCUAUGAGAUAAAUUAUUGAUUUAGUAACUUGUUAAAAAAAAUUCUGAAAAAUUAUAAUUUAUUUUUUACACUAGCGGAAAUUUCGCAAUUUCCA
rnacentral:lncRNA from 1 species